CAGCUGAUCAUUUCAAAUGUAUUUACUACGUGUCACUCACUAUGGUGUGGGACUGUGAGCUCUACUAAAUCUGCAGGUUCAGGUUUGGACUGGCACAACAGAGAUAAUCAAUAUCUCUGACAUCCCCCACUGGGUUUGGAAUCUGGAUGGUUCUAGAGAGAAUACCAAGAAGGUGAAAUAGAACAAAAAGGAAUGAAGCAUUCAGAAAUACUGGAUCAGAGACAGAGCUAAGGGAGGAGCUGGGGAAAAAAGGCAUGACAGAAAUGACAGUGUGGACCCAUUAAGAUGCAGCUGAGUGCCAGAUGAGAUCUGCUGUCCAAAGCAGCAUGCUGUGCUAUGCCAAUCCAGUGCCUUGUCAGCAUGGCAGACAGCUGUAGUUAGAACACAAGGCUUU
rnacentral:lncRNA from 12 species